rnacentral:misc_RNA from 1 species
AAAAAAAAGUAUUGUGUUUGUGCUUUGAAUUAGGUGGCUUUCCAUUGCAGAAGAGUUCAGAUAGAUUUCUUGGUUGAAUCAUUUGCUUUGGCAAGUGUAAUGUUCUGAAUUCUGAUAUCAUGCUGUCCUAAGCGAUCUAAGGCUUCACAUCCUCCACUAUUAGGACAUAAGGACAUGAAUUGAUUCAGUCGUUAUUUAAUAAUAUAUGGUAACACCCUAAGAAAGGGCAACCAAUCCUCUUUGUUUUCAAUGCAUCUGUACAUCUGGACAUGUUCGAAUUAUAUAUGCCUCCUAGUUGUGAUUUUUGAUGUAUAAGAUCCUGUGCCAUGUAGAAUGUUUGAUGUUAAGAGGAAUUG